GCAUUGUGUCAAUAAUAAGUGUUGCUGUGAAGAGAACAAUAGUCAGACUGAAUGUUGAACAUCAGCUAGUUUCUCCUGCUGAUUUAAACCUUGUUGGACAGAUGGAACAUUGGCUGUGGAUUAUUCUAGCUGCUCUUUUCUUUGAGUGUAAAGGAGACUCAGUGACACAGACAGAAGGACAUGUUGCUGCUGCUGAAGGAGAAUCUGUGACUCUGGGAUGUUCUUUCAAAGCCAGUUUCACAGGUGAUGCCUUGUUCUGGUAUAAACAAGAAGAAAGCAGCUUCCCAAAGUAUAUGCUGAAAGAAUAUACUGGAAGAAGAGAAAACAAUCCGGAGUUCAGUGAAGAAAGAUUUCAUGCAGGGAUCAAGAACUCAACAUUUAAUCUGACGAUCAUGGAUCUCGGUCUGUCAGACUCUGCUGUGUACUACUGUGCUCUGAGGCCCACAGUGACAGGAAACACCAGAACUCUGUACAAGAACCUGCAGAGCAGAGACAGCAGAAUAACCCACUAUAGCUACAAGAGGGGCGGAUACAUUAACCUAAAGUAAAGUUCAGCUCUCAAAUCAUAUGCAAUUUGAGAAAAAAGGAGACAUGAGUAAAUGUGAUUUAGAAAAUAUUCAACGUGUUCAGAAACAGUACAUUUCUUUUUACACAAUUUUUAUGUAAACAAUAACAAGCUAGACUUUUGCCUAUAAUGAAUUCCACUAUUAUACAAGCUUGUUCUCGAUAUUCACGCAGUGGACAGUAUUACUCCUUUACCCCAUAUUGCAGUGAUCCAGGAAGCCUUUUAUGAUUCAUUGGAUGUUUGUUCAAGGGUUUGAUGGCUCAGAGGAAAAAUGUGAUUUAAAAUUUUCCAGGCCUUAACUGGGAGUAGAUUUUAACAACCAU